rnacentral:misc_RNA from 1 species
GGAGUAAAAGUCGUAACAAGGUUUCCGUAGGUGAACCUGCGGAAGGAUCAUUAUUGAAUGAAACACUUCUGGCUUUAUGCUGUUGUGCUGGCCCUUUGGGCAAUGUGCACACGGCUCUGGUCACUUGUUUCUUCUGUUCCACCUGUGCACUGCCUGUAGACACGCUGUGUCUAUGAUAUUUGUUAACACACAACAAUGUUAGUUGGCAUGUUAUAUAUAAUAAUAAAAUAUACAACUUUCAACAACGGAUCUCUUGGCUCUC